UCCGCGUUUCUCACGGCAGUUUUCCUAGAGUGCCCAGCUUUCACCGGUCGCAACUAAGAAUAGGGGUUACGUUCGUUGCAGGACUCAACCUAACAUGUCACCACACGAACUGACGACAGCCAUGCAGCACCUGUCUUCCCGUUGUGUUGCCACAAACCCUGUGUUGCCACAGGUAGCAGGAGAUGUCAAAUCCAGGUAAGGUUUUGCGCGUUGCUUCGAAUUAAACCACAUGAUCCACCGCUUGUGCGGGCCCCCGUCAAUUCCUUUGAGUUUUAGUCUUGCGACCGUACUCCUCAGGCGGGGUACUUCGUGCGUUAGCUCCGUCAGAGCAGGGGUCAAGACCCACUCCAACUAGUACCCAUCGUUUACUGCGUGGACUAC
rnacentral:misc_RNA from 1 species